AUAGCAAUUGCAUAGCAGCAUGCUAGAAACACUCAGAACACCCUAGAAACUGCAAUGCCUUGACAACAACCCUAACAUAGUGUCAAUGAAUUUUGCAUAUAGCAUAUACAGUGUGUGUGUGUGUAUGUAUAUCAGGCUCUUAUGCAUGUGUACUUUGGGCUUCCUGCCAUAUUGUCGAAUUGAAAUGUUCUGAUCUGUAGCAUUCUACUCUUCCCACCUGUCCCGAGCCACACUCAAACCCCCAUAGCAAUUGCAUAGCAGCAUGCUAGAAACACUCAGAACACCCUAGAAACUGCAAUGCCUUGACAACAACCCUAACAUAGUGUCAAUGAAUUUUGCAUAUAGCAUAUACAGUGUGUGUGUGUGUGUGUGUAUGUAUAUCAGGCUCUUAUGCAUGUGUACUUUGGGCUUCCUGCCAUAUUGUCGAAUUGAAAUGUUCUGAUCUGUAGCAUUCUACUCUUCCCACCUGUCCCGAGCCGACUUCGCUUCCUGAUUCACCAAACCUGCACGAAUCAUCCCAACCUCAGCACCUUCUCCGUGGGCGAGGGCUGCGCACGCAGAGUUGUAGUGUGCUGUUCAGACCUCAGGUUGCCAGAAGAAGACCAGAGAGAUGUGGAGGGCAGUUCCCAUGGGCGAGCACGCAGUACUCAAAGGGGUUGACCAAACAGUCUAUGGGGUUGACUGACAAAAUGUUUGGGAGUC
rnacentral:lncRNA from 1 species